rnacentral:rRNA from 1 species
GUGCCAGCAGCCGCGGUAAUACGGAGGGUGCAAGCGUUGUCCGGAUUUAUUGGGUUUAAAGGGUACGUAGGCGGGUCUUUAAGUCCGUGGUGAAAGCCUGCAGCUUAACUGUAGAAUUGCCAUGGAUACUGGAGAUCUUGAAUUCAGUUGAGGUAAGCGGAAUUUAUGAUGUAGCGGUGAAAUGCAUAGAUAUCAUAAAGAACACCGAUUGCGAAGGCAGCUUGCUGGACUUGGAUUGACGCUGAGGUACGAAAGCGUGGGGAGCGAACAGGAUUAGAUACCCUGGUAGUCCACGCUGUAAACGAUGAUCACUCGCUGUUGGCGAUACACUGUCAGUGGCUAAGCGAAAGCAUUAAGUGAUCCACCUGGGGAGUACGCUCGCAAGAGUGAAACUUAAAUGAAUUGACGGGG